CGGAGCGGCUCGGUGCUGCCUACAGCCUCGGCCGGGCCCGCGGCUCCUCCCCGGCGUUCGGGAAGAUGGCCCCGCCCGGCCAGGAAGUUGCCUUCUGAACUAUGUAACUUCUCAACCCAAACUGGCUCCUUUUGUCACACAAGCUCUUGUUCAAGCCAUUGCUAAAGUUACCAAAUUAGGAAGGUUUGACAUACUGAAAGACCAGCUUGUCUUCAAGACAUCAUUGCUGAUGUGGAAGGAUUCUUGCAGGACACUGUGGACCAUUGUAUCAUAGGAGUAAUGAUUCUCUUAGAACUGACUAAGGAAAUAAAUCUAGCUGAUUACUCAAGACCUUCAGCAAAACAUCAUAAAUAGCAACCCCAUUCUUGGCACCUCUUUAAAGGACAUACUGGUGCUUGCGUGCUCUCUUUUAAAAGAGCUUUCCAUAGCAGCGGAAGUGGCGCCAUGAGGAACCAUUCUACUUGAGCUCAAUCAACUCAGUGCUUUGGAGAGGAGCUCGUUGUUGAAGUGUUACCUGGCUCCAGUUCUUUAACUCCUUUGGGAGUGCUGAUUUGUUCACUCCACUUGAAGGUGAGACUUGGAAUUCAAGCAAACGGCAGACGAUUACGAUGCAAAGUUGUUGCAUUUCUUGUACAGUUUUUCAAACAAAAUGUGUCCAUACAGCAUUAAGGAACCACGUCAGUGACUGGUGAAUUUGAGGUUGGACAAUCGUAGGCAUUGAACUGAAAGAUCACCAAUUGCUGACAUAAUCCUUUCCCAUAUGAUGUAUAUGGUAGAUGCUCCACGCUGGUCUGGAGUAACCACAACGCAUGAAACCUUACAGUUUGAUUUUUGCAAUGAGCAUUAACAGUAUUUUAGCAGGCUUUAUCGCUGACGUGCCCUGUCUUAUCUAUGUUUUAUGCAGGUCACCUGACAAGGUGUUUCCUUGGCCAAACCUUUAACCCUUUGCGAUCGACGGCAACGAAGUCUAGCAGUGCAUCUAGACGGGAUGCCCCGUCCUUGGACGUGUUUAAGGCCAGCUAAUGAAUCUGCAGAUGACCUAUGCACUGUGCAGAUUCCAGGAAGCUGGAGAAGAAGUAAGAAAGAAUCGCAUUGCUAGUAUUUUCAGUUUGCUUCUACAAGGAGAUCUUUAUUCAGCAAUCCAGAACGUGCCAGGUAUCUUGGUAAUCUAACCAUAGGAGCGAAACAAAUACUUGAAAAUCCGCAGGGUUUAUCUGAUCCCUUGAAUUCUGUCGGUUCUUGGCUCAGCUGAUGACAAACCAUCAACUAGGAGAGUUAGUGACAGAUUACCCAGAAGUUUUCCAGCUCAUAGCAAACUGUACCGUUACUGGCCUACAGCAGUGGAAGAUAACACCCAGCAGUAGGGUGCUGCUCCUGUAGGCCAGAGUGUCAGUGGGUAGCACACUGCAGUAACUGUGAGCGUGGUCCGUGGUGUGUUCCAUAACAUCUCAAUUCUGACAGGGUCCUUCAGUAUUUAGAUGUAUGUUUUGGUUUCUUACAGCACUGGGAGUUUGCUCCAAAUAGCGUUUGUUAUUUGGUAACUCUGUGGCAAAGAAUGGUGGCAUCUGUACCUUUUGUGAAAACAGCAGAACCCUGCCUCUUAGAUACCUGUGCACCUGAGACAACAAAAGCUUAUAUUACUUCCAGACUGGAGUGUGUUCCUGCAGUAGUAAGAGAUGGCCUGGAAGAUUCACUGGAUGAUACAGCUACAGUUUUCCAACAAGUGGAGCAACUAUGCGGUUAGCAGGUGUGGAUGUGAAAAGAUCUCUACACUUCUUGGACAGUUGUUUGACCAAAAUGCCCAAAACUACCGAAAACUCUUGCACUCCUCUAGUAGGAAUCCAUUAGAAGUCACAGUCCAGGAAGGACAUCUGGCACGGCCUGUCUACUUUGUGGAUACUUUCGUGGGGGGAAGAUUGAUGUACACUAGCUCUGUUAAACAUGAUGCUCUGGAUGGAGAAUUACCCUGUCAGCUGUUUCAACAGGUGCCUUUGGAUGCCCAGGUACCACAGGCUGGUAAUGAAAAAGUAGAACUGGCAAUUUUGUGGUUCUUGGAUCGGUUUCACAAACGUGUGUGGGGGAGCAGCCUCAGCACACCUCAGAGGUAACGUGUGCUCUGAAGAGUGACGUGAAAAUGGAGCAGGCCUGUGGAGAAAUGGACCUGACAGCACACCUGGAGCCACUUAAGAGAAACCAGAAGGCAGCACUUGUAUGAUGAUUCUUCUGUUCUAUCCUGCUGUAGCAGCAAGUGUAGCAGCAGAUGGCAUUCUACCCUCACAGUUGUAAAUCCCAUGGUGCAGUGUGCUGCUGGCAGAAUGUGUAAUGGAAAUUUUGCACGCUUCAGCCAUGUUGAAGUAAUCUCCAGGAGUAUUUCACCAUUUAAUCAUACACUUGCAUGCAGAAAAUGGUUACAGAAGGCAGAGUAGUUGAACAAAAUUGUGGAGCACAUUGUCUGUUGUAGGUGGAAAUAUUCGUAUCAGCACUCUCUGUGUGUUUCUCAGCAAGGAGCACGUGGCACGUGCAAUACCUGUGGGGCUUGAUGCAACUGAGUAUCAGGAAUAUCUUUGAGCAUGAGAAAGUGGCAGAGAAGGCUGCCUGCAAAUCCCAGAGUGAUUCAAAUAUGUUGGCAUUCAAACGAUGAAGAAAUUUGUAGAACUGAGCGGUAUUUGAAAUACGAGGAACAACUGUUUGGAAAAGAAACUCAAUUUCAGAAAAGUUCGUGGAGCUCAAGAUCCUUGAAUUUUGUCAAGUGAAGGAGAAAACCACUUUCUUUUCCUCAGAAAUGGGACCAGAAAGUUAAAUCCCACUGUUUUCCAAGCUACUUUACAUUGCUUUAUAUUGGGAUUAUCCAGUCACGUGAAGGAUGGCUCUUUAGCAGGUGUAUUCCCGCAUGUCAGAAGUCUGAGGAAUAACAGAUGACAGCCAUGUUCUGGAAACAUUUAUGACAAAGAUUGUUACAAACCUUAAAUACUGAGGAAGAUGUGAGCCUGUGAUUUCAAGAACUCUCCAGUUUCUAAAUGACCUUUCUGUUGAAUAUCCUUUUUUGGUGUAUGACUUUAUUUGCAUAUAAUAAGAUGUAGAGUUACUGUUUUUUUUGAAGGCAUGCUUAUUUUCACCUACUUACCAACAAAACAACAAAAAAAAAUACAACUAGUUGCUUAUGGCCAUCUAUCCCAUUCCUCAUCCUAAUGUUAAUGCCAUUGAUGAGUUCAGCUGUAUAGAGAGCAGGGUUGAUUCUGUAAGCAGUUGGGAACAGGACUGGUUCUGCUUUGAGGAUGUGUGAACGAAGAACUCUAAUCGUAUAAGAAGAAUUCUAAUAUGUUUUUGUCGGUAGAAGGAUGACAUUCCAAACUUCCUAACUCUUGCAAGACCAUUUUCAGAUGCUCGGUCCCCAGUGCAUCAUCACCAUGUAAAGCAGCGCUGCCUCCAUGAAUACGCAUCUUAAGCCUCAUUGGAAACGUUUAAGGACGAGGAAAAUAGAAAUUAACCAAAAUGCAAAUGCCAAAAGCAGAUACAAUUAUUUUUCAGUGGAAAUACUUGUAGCAGGAGUUCCGAGAGCAGCAGCUGUUCUGCUUAGCUGGGUGGGGUUGUACAAAGACAGCUUUAAUGCCGGUUCGCUUCAGCGUGAUGUUGUAUUAGUUAAGGUUAAAAUUGUGUUCCCUGGCAAACCAUAAAAGAUUUCGAAAGUAUUAGACACCCACUUUUGUGCUGGAAUUUAAUAUGCAACUUUUUAUUGGAAAAUAAUCGUCCUUGUCUGGCAAAAUCCACCAUGCAAUAUUUCUGUUAGUAGGCAUAAUGCAAUAAAGACAGGGAGGGCUAUUUAUCACUACAAAU